UCUGUACAGAUGUUUGCAGUGGUGUUAACUUUAGAAUCAGCUUCUUUGUGUUUCAUUGUACAGUUUCACACAGUGAGCUGGAUUUUGAUCUUUGCUUAGAAAUUAAAUCAGUCAGAUAUUAGGUUCAGCUUCUUUUUGUUUUAUUGCUGAACAUUUUAUAAUGGUGUGUUAAGUUUUUAUUUGAUUAGAAACAUUUUUAUUUUCUCACUAAGUUUCUUUUCAUGGCUCCUAUUUAUUUGUAAUUUUUCUGUAGGAUCUAUUCUGUAAUUAUAGUUUCUGUCUUUGCUGGGGUGUAAAUGAGAGUGUAGCAUCAUUUUGGGUACAACUUGUACAUAUUAGGGUUUUAAUAAAUGAAUAAAAGUCCUUUGGAAACCCA